rnacentral:lncRNA from 10 species
UAAAGGGAAUACAAAUACAACUAUUUUGAAGGAAAGAACCUAAGGUUUGGCUGUUAGGAACACAUAAAUGUUGACCCUAAGAAGCUUCUCCAAUCCUUUCUCUUUCUGUGGAUGACGCUCAUUUCUUAACUUCCACCAAAAACAUGGAGAUGAGACUGGGGUCAGAAUUGCUGGAGUUAGGCCAAUCAAUUCUAUGCAUGGUAAUAUUGUGUAGAAGAUGUUAAAUUUUAUUUGUUCUUGCUGUUCAUUAUACCUGAUCUUGACUGACAUCAUCAUCUUCUCAUCCUUCUGGUACAGCUUAGAUAAAGGUAAACAGUUAAUUCCAUCAAUAAGUGUUUACUUAUUGCCACUGAAAUUCAAUCACAGUAUUAGGUACUGGGGCACAAUGGGAAGUAUUGAAUAGGUGUUUGCUAUUGUUACCAUCCAAAAAGAUGAUUCUUUGACAUGUAUUGGUUUCUAUAUUUUUUUGCAAUGGAACUGACUGUGACAGAAUUUCACUUUGUAUGUGCACUGAAGGUCUUCUGGUAACAGAAUGAAAAUUCAUAUAUAUAUACAUAUAUGCACAUCCAAAUCAGGAUUUUAUAAUUCAAUUCAAAGCUGAACAGAAGAGAAACUUGUUCUAUCCGUAUGAAGAAAUAUUACAGAGCCAAAACAAUUUACAACUUAUGAUAUUACUGCAAGAAUAGUUGAAUAGAUAAAUAAAACAGAAUGAGUAAUUCAGUGUCUAAUUUAUAUAACAACUUCAUGUGUGAUAAAGGAGGCAUCAUACAUUAACAAAGAAAGAAUAGAGUGUGUAUUACACUGUAUUGGGAAAUUUGCUAUUUGGAUGAGAAAAUCAACAUAUGCUCUUUUUUCAAAGCCUGUAAAAAAUACAAUCCCUGUAGUUUAAGAUCCAAAUAUUAAACAUAUAUAUAAGUACAUACACAAGAUAACACAUUUGAUCAAAUAUCUGAUCUUUGAUUGGAG